UCCUCGCCGGGGUGGGGGUCGUUACCGAAGGGGGAACUCCUGGAAAUUCUAACUUUUGUCAGUUCGCGCCCCGCACCGACGUCCUGCGGUCUUUUCGAUUGCUCUGAUUGCCUCGAGGGGAAACUGAGGCCAGUUAGUCCGGGCACUUAACCGCAGGUGAUAAAGGACUGGGUUGUGAUGGGGACGCCUGUUAUGCCCUCAAGGGCCUGUAGAGUCUGGGAGGCCGCCUUCCGACCUGAGCUCAAAAAGCACGUUUGGGCUCACAGCGGGGCUGCCAGAGGUGAAAACAGCCAACGCUUUCAACGAUGCUGUAAGGGGCACUUCGUGUGUCAUCCCGUCUCAUCCUCGGUUGAUGGGGCCCUAAGCCAAUCAGAAUGCUGAUUAAAGGAUUGUUAAGGUUUCACCUGGAUACCCCAUCGAAACCAGACUUCCUGCAAAUGGUAAAAACCUCACAGCAGCAGAACUGUUCGGGGAAAUUGCAAACAGCUAAAUACCCCUCACCAGGAGCUGGUUCCUUAUAGCAACUCUGAGACUUCUACUGCAGGCUUUUAA